CGCGUAGGCGGCUUGGCAAGUCUGGUGUGAAAUCUCACAGCUUAACUGUGAAACUGCAUCAGAAACUGCUUGGCUAGAGUGCGGGAGAGGAGAGUGGAAUUCCCAGUGUAGAGGUGAAAUUCGUAGAUACUGGGAGGAACACCGGUGGCGAAGGCGGCUCUCUGGACCGCAACUGACGCUGAGGCGCGAAAGCUAGGGGAGCGAAC
rnacentral:rRNA from 1 species